AGAUCGGUUCUUCUCAGAACCAUCCCACAAACUGAAAGACCAGAUU
rfam:Chelonia mydas contig212605, whole genome shotgun sequence.